rnacentral:rRNA from 1 species
UGGGGAAUAUUGCACAAUGGGGGAAACCCUGAUGCAGCGACGCCGCGUGAACGAAGAAGGUAUUCGUAUCGUAAAGUUCUGUCCUAUGGGAAGAUAAUGACAGUACCAUAGAAGAAAGCUCCGGCUAAAUACGUGCCAGCAGCCGCGGUAAUACGUAUGGAGCGAGCGUUGUCCGGAAUUAUUGGGCGUAAAGGGUACGCAGGCGGUUUAAUAAGUCGAAUGUUAAAGAUCGGGGCUCAACCCCGCAAAGCAUUGGAAACUGAUAAACUUGAGUAGUGGAGAGGAAAGUGGAAUUCCUCGUGUAGUGGUGAAGUACGUAGAUAUUAGGAGGAAUACCAGUAGCGAAGGCGACUUGCUGGACACGAACUGACGCUGAGGUACGAAAGCGUGGGGAGCAAACAGG